UGGCACGCAGUAAAAGAUCUGGGGGAAU
rnacentral:piRNA from 1 species